rnacentral:tRNA from 1 species
CGGAGCGUAGCGCAGUCUGGUAGCGCACCUGUUUUGGGAACAGGGGGUCGCAGGUUCGAAUCCUGCCGCUCCGACCA